rnacentral:rRNA from 1 species
CAAGCAAAUCCCAUAAAGUUGUUCUCAGUUCGGAUUGUAGUCUGCAACUCGACUACAUGAAGCUGGAAUCGCUAGUAAUCGUAGAUCAGCAUGCUACGGUGAAUACGUUCCCGGGUCUUGUACACACCGCCCGUCACACCACGAGAGUUUGUAACACCCGAAGCCGGUGGAGUAACCUUUUAGGAGCUAGCCGUCGAAGUGACAAUGUGU